rnacentral:rRNA from 1 species
GAUGAACGCUGGCGGCGUGCCUAAUACAUGCAAGUCGAGCGAACAGACGAGGAGCUUGCUCCUCUGACGUUAGCGGCGGACGGGUGAGUAACACGUGGAUAACCUACCUAUAAGACUGGGAUAACUUCGGGAAACCGGAGCUAAUACCGGAUAAUAUACUGAACCGCAUGGUUCAAUAGUGAAAGACGGCUUUGCUGUCACUUAUCGAUGGAUCCGCGCCGUAUUAGCUAGUUGGGACGGUAACGGCUUAUCAGGGCAACGAGGCGUGGCCGAACUGAGAGGGUGAUCGCCCACACUGGAAGGGAAACAGAGUCCAGACGCCUGCGGGAGGCAGCAGUAGGGAAUCUGCCGCAGUGGGCGAAAGCCUGACGGAGCGACGCGGCGUGAAUGAUGAAGGUCUUCGGAGCGGAAAGCUCGGUUAUGAGUGAAGAACAAAUGUGGAAGUAGCUAUGCACGGAUUGACGGUACCUAAUCAAGAAGCCACGGCUAACUACGUG